UACGGGGGGUCCUAGCGUUGUUCGGAAUCACUGGGCGUAAAGCGUUUGUAGGCGGCUUUGUAAGUUAGCUGUGAAAGCCCGGGGCCUAACCCCGGAAGUGCAUCUAAUACUGCAGAGCUUGAGUAUGAGAGAGGAAGAUGGAAUAUCUGGUGUAGUGGUGAAAUACGUAGAUAUCAGAUGGAACAUCGGUGGCGAAAGCGGUCUUCUGGCUCAAUACUGACGCUGAAAAACGAAAGCGUGGGGAUCAAACAGG
rnacentral:rRNA from 1 species